GGCUCUCGCUCAUCGAGGGGUUCGCGCACCAUCAGCUUGUUGGCGGGGUAACGGCCCACCAAGGCCUACGGUUAGCUGGUCUGAGAGGAUGACCAGCCCCACUGGGACUGAGAUACUGCCCAGACUCCUACGGGAGGCUGCAGUCGAGGAUCAUUUGCAAUGGGCGAAAGCCUGACAAUGCGACGCUGCGUGGAGGAUGAAGGCCUUCGGGUUGUAAACUCCUGUCAUAGGGGAACAGGCGAGCUUACCCAAUACGUAAGCGAGUUGAGUGUACCCUAAGAGGAAUUGGCGGCUAACUCUGUGCCAGCAGCCGCGGUAAUACAGAGGCCCAAGAGCGUUGUUCGGGAUUUUACUGGGCGUAAAGGGCGCGUAGGCCGUCUUGCGUGUCAAGUGUGAAAAUCUCCGGGCUCCACCCCGAAAGUGCGCUUGAAACUACAGGACUCGAGUCUGGGAGAGGGAAUCGGAAUAUAGGGUGUAGCGGGGAAAUGCGUUGAUAUCCUAUAGAACACCGGAGGCGAAGGCGGAUUCCUUGAACAGUACUGACGCUGAGGCGCGAAAGUCGGGGGAGCAAACAGGAUUAGAUACCCUGGUAGUCCCGACCUUAAACGGUGCACACUCGGGGUGGGGCCAUUUCACCGGCCCCGUCCCUUAGCUAACGCGUUAAGUGUGCCGCCUGGGGAGUACGGCCGCAAGGCUAAAACUCAAAGAAAUUGACGGGGGCCCGCACAAGCAGAGGAGCAUGUGGCUUAAUUCGAUGCAACGCGAAGAACCUUACCUGGAUUUGACAUCCCCGGCAAUGGUCUAUGAAAGUAGACCGGAGGUUACCCGGGUGACAGGUGCUGCAUGGCUGUCGUCAGUUCGUGCCGUGAGGUGUUUGGUUAAGUCCACCAACGAACGCAACCCCUUUGCGAUGUUGCCAUCAGGUUAUGCUGGGAACUCGUCGCAUACUGCCUGUUUACGCAGGAGGAAGGUGGGGAUGACGUCAAGUCAGUAUGGCCCUUACAUCCAGGGCUGCACACGUGCUACAAUGGCCGGUACAGAGGGACGCGAGACCGCAAGGUGGAGCCAAUCCCAGAGAGCCGGCCUCAGUUCAGAUCGGGGUCUGCAACCCGACCCAGUGAAGUCGGAUUUGCUAGUAACGGCGUAUCAGCUACGACGCCGUGAAUGCGUUCCCGGGCCUUGCACACAACGCCCGUCA
rnacentral:rRNA from 1 species